UUGCUUCCCUAACCAGACAGUAAAUUCUUGGAAGGCAGCCAAAGGCCCUGGUUGCUUAUUUAUCUCCUCCAGAGCAAUUAGCUCAGUUCUGCAAGGAUGAUAGACAUUUAACCAAGAUUUACUGAAUGAAUGCCUUGAAACAUGGAUGCGUUACAGAGCUAACCAGGAUUGCCUGCAGGGUUUGUGAAGAUGUGCAAAUAAUCACCUUGUCUUAAAUCACUACUGAUGCCAAAAAUACGAUCCUCCUAUUAGGCUUAAAAGUCUAGGGACCGGGAAACUAAGAACGGCGGCGGCACGCGCCUCAAGGGUGCUGGGACGC